GUCAACUAUUAUCAUUGAGUGCAAGGAAGAUGUGUUUGAAUGUAUGUAUGUUUGCUUUGCUUCUCUGAGAGCUGGCUUCCUGGCAAGUUGCAGGAGACUGGUGUCACUUGAUGGGUGAUGGCUUAAAGGGCUAUAUGGAGGGCAGUUAUUAUCUGUUGUUGGGAUAGAUGCAAAUGACUGCAUCUAUCCCAUAGCAUGGGUUGUUGUUAGCAGAUCGAGAAACCAAGGACAAUCGGACCAAAUUUUCUAAAAGUGCUUCCACAAAACCUCAGAAUCAAUGACAACCAACAAUGGGCCUUCAUGUCUGAUAGACAUAAGAUCAAUUUAGUAGGCUAGACAUGGGUGGAGAAAGGUGCAAAAACUCACAAUCUCUUCUACCCCAGUGAAAGAAGUUGUAGGAGGGAAAAAACAAACUUCAACCCCUACAAUGGAAGCACAUCCUUAUGGAAGAAAAUCUACCACCAAAUUAGCAACAACUGUUUUAGCUAUGGUGAAGACUCAAAUAAAAACCAAAGGGAGGAGAAUCCAACAAGCCAGGAGGUGUUGACAAAAGGAGAAAGAUUUGGUUGCCACCAGGAAUUGGAGCCUAUUCUAGUUCAGCUGAUCCUUACAAAAAAAACUUCCUAAGAUGCAAAAGUGUUUGCCUUACCUUUUUAGAAAUCGGUUGCUUCAUUGAAGCUAGGGUUUUAGUAUUAUCAAUUAACUUUUUUUGUAAAGCAUUGUUCUGUAGUGCCUAAUUUUUGUAAAUCUGCAGUUUUAGUGAAACUAGGGUUUUAGUGUUAACAUUUUUAUAAAGCACUGUUCUGUAGUGCCUUUUUUUUUCGUAAAGCUGCAGUUUCAG